rnacentral:rRNA from 1 species
UACGGAGGGUGCGAGCGUUAUCCGGAUUCACUGGGUUUAAAGGGUGCGUAGGUGGGAAUGUAAGUCAGUGGUGAAAUCUCCGUGCUUAACACGGAAACUGCCAUUGAUACUAUGUUUCUUGAAUUUUCUGGAGGUUAGCGGAAUAUGUCACGUAGCGGUGAAAUGCUUAGAUAUGACAUAGAACACCGAUUGCGAAGGCAGCUAACUACAGGGAUAUUGACACUGAGGCACGAAAGCGUGGGGAUCAAACAGG